UACGUAGGGUGCAAGCGUUGUCCGGAAUUAUUGGGCGUAAAGAGCUCGUAGGCGGUCUGUCGCGUCGGCUGUGAAAACUCGGGGCUCAACUCCGAGCUUGCAGUCGAUACGGGCAGGCUAGAGUUCGGCAGGGGAGACUGGAAUUCCCGGUGUAGCGGUGAAAUGCGCAGAUAUCGGGAAGAACACCCGUGGCGAAGGCGGCUCUCUGGGGCGGUACUGACGCUGAGACGCGAAAGCGUGGGGAGCGAACAGG
rnacentral:rRNA from 1 species